GUGUAAGUAGUAUAGUGGUUUGAGCAUUGAACUAUGACUCUGAAGACCAGGGUGCAAAUCCCGGCUUGGCCA